rnacentral:rRNA from 1 species
AGAAUCAACGCUGGCGGCGUGCCUAACACAUGCAAGUCGAACGCGAAAGGGGAGCAAUCCCUGAGUAGAGUGGCAAACGGGUGAGUAACACGUGGGUGACCUGCCUCAGAGUGGGGGAUAACGUCCCGAAAGGGACGCUAAUACCGCAUAACAUCCUGCCUUUGGAAAGGCGGAGAUCAAAGCCGGGAUCGCAAGACCUGGCGCUUGGAGAGGGGCCCGCGUCUGAUUAGCUAGUUGAUAGGGUAAUGGCCUACCAAGGCAACGAUCAGUA